AGCGGCGGACGGGUGAGUAACGCGUGGGUAACCUGCCCUGUACACACGGAUAACAUACCGAAAGGUAUGCUAAUACGAGAUAAUAUACUUUUAUCGCAUGGUAGAAGUAUCAAAGCUCCGGCGGUACAGGAUGGACCCGCGUCUGAUUAGCUAGUUGGUAAGGUAACGGCUUACCAAGGCGACGAUCAGUAGCCGACCUGAGAGGGUGAUCGGCCACAUUGGAACUGAGACACGGUCCAAACUCCUACGGGAGGCAGCAGUGGGGAAUAUUGCACAAUGGGCGAAAGCCUGAUGCAGCAACGCCGCGUGAGCGAUGAAGGCCUUCGGGUCGUAAAGCUCUGUCCUCAAGGAAGAUAAUGACGGUACUUGAGGAGGGAGCCCCGGCUAACUACGUGCCAGCAGCCGCGGUAAUACGUAGGGGGCUAGCGUUAUCCGGAAUUACUGGGCGUAAAGGGUGCGUAGGUGGUUUCUUAAGUCAGAGGUGAAAGGCUACGGCUCAACCGUAGUAAGCCUUUGAAACUGGGAAACUUGAGUGCAGGAGAGGAGAGUGGAAUUCCUAGUGUAGCGGUGAAAUGCGUAGAUAUUAGGAGGAACACCAGUUGCGAAGGCGGCUCUCUGGACUGUAACUGACACUGAGGCACGAAAGCGUGGGGAGCAAACAGGAUUAGAUACCCUGGUAGUCCACGCUGUAAACGAUGAGUACUAGCUGU
rnacentral:rRNA from 1 species